rnacentral:rRNA from 1 species
CUCCAGCUUGCUGGGGGGAUUAGUGGCGAACGGGUGAGUAACACGUGAGUAACCUGCCCUUGACUCUGGGAUAAGCCUGGGAAACUGGGUCUAAUACCGGAUACGACCAUCUGGCGCAUGUCAUGGUGGUGGAAAGCUUUUGUGGUUUUGGAUGGACUCGCGGCCUAUCAGCUUGUUGGUGGGGUAAUGGCCUACCAAGGCGACGACGGGUAGCCGGCCUGAGAGGGUGACCGGCCACACUGGGACUGAGACACGGCCCAGACUCCUACGGGAGGCAGCAGUGGGGAAUAUUGCACAAUGGGCGGAAGCCUGAUGCAGCGACGCCGCGUGAGGGAUGACGGCCUUCGGGUUGUAAACCUCUUUCAGUAGGGAAGAAGCGUAAGUGACGGUACCUGCAGAAGAAGCGCCGGCUAACUACGUGCCAGCAGCCGCGGUAAUACGUAGGGCGCAAGCGUUAUCCGGAAUUAUUGGGCGUAAAGAGCUCGUAGGCGGUUUGUCGCGUCUGCUGUGAAAGACCGGGGCUCAACUCCGGUUCUGCAGUGGGUACGGGCAGACUAGAGUGAUGUAGGGGAGACUGGAAUUCCUGGUGUAGCGGUGAAAUGCGCAGAUAUCAGGAGGAACACCGAUGGCGAAGGCAGGUCUCUGGGCAUUAACUGACGCUGAGGAGCG